GCGCCGGGCCGCAGCUGCCCAGGCCAAGCCUCCUCAGUAGGUUCCGUCGCCUUUUAAAACCGCCACCUAUCCCUCUGGAGUGGCCUGCCUCGUCCUUCUGCUUCGCCUCGCCUUCAGGGGCCACUUCCAAACUUCACUGUGGAAACCGCCAGAGCUUUGGGUCCAAAGCGCGCGCGAGGCUCAGCCGCAGCUCCACCUUCGCCUGCCCACAGGAAGCCAUCUUCCGCCCACCGCUCAGGCAGAAGCCCCGCCUCUUCCUGUUUCCGGGCCCCGGGGCUCACUUCCGGCCCAAAAGGAUGCCGUCCGCCCUCGGGCCAUUGGUGGAGCGUAUUUGACUGUCAGAACCCGCAGCCAAUGAGUGACCGACUUGCUACCAGUACCAACCCCACCGACUUCUGAAAGACUCCUCUCUCCGGAGGCUCUCGAUGUUGUUUUGUUUUGUUUUGUUUUGUUUUGUUUUGUUUUGUUUUGUUUGUUUUUUUGUUUUAAUUUUUUUUUUAUUGGAGUUCAAUUUGCAAACAUAUAGCAUAACACCCAGUGCUCAUCCAACCAAGUGCCCGCCCUCGAUGGUUUUUUUGUUGUUGCAAGGGAUAGAAGCUCCAUACGGAAGAAUCUGUAAUUAGGCAGACCGAUGUGUGUGGUCUGCAUGCUGGGCCAUUUCCUGACUUGGGUCAUUUUGUCUCUUACCAUUGGCCAUGAGGGGAUCAACUAUCAGAGUUCAGAUGGCACAAAACAAAUUCAUGCUCCCAAACAAAACCAGGAUACCACAUUGACGACCUUGAUACUUUUGAGGAAUACUGGCCAGGUGUUUUGUUAGAAUGUCCCAAGAUUGGGAUUUGUCUGAUAUUUUUUUCAUUUGAUGAGACUUGUGUGUUUUGAGAAGAAAGAUCGUAGAGGACAUCUCAUUGACAUCACUUCGUAUCAAGGUCCCGUUUGGAAGGAAGUCAUUACAAGAAGCACUUGAGGAGGAAGGGUUAUCCUCCAUCUUCUGGAGGGUGGAGGAGCUACAUCAAUUUGGAGUUCUAUUACAAGACAGA